UUUUCAGUGAGGAACCAUUUUCCUAAAAUCAAAGUGCACUUUAUGUCAUUGAAUUUUAUAAUAAUUAAUUUUUUUCAAACAGUCAUACCUAUAAAUUAGCUUAAGAUAAAUUUAUCCUUUGAACUCUUUUGGUCAAUAUUAUCAUAAAAUGAAAAAGAAAUUAAUAAGAAAUUAUACAAUAAGUAUUUUAAGUUUGUUAUUUUUCUUGGUAUGCAGUUCACUUAGUAGCUAUCUAUUAUUUUUGGCUGCUUAAUGCUUUUAUUCAGUUCAGAUACUUCAAUUUCUGCAAGGACAUUUAUGAAUGAAAUCUUAGUAACAUGUUUGUUUUGCCCUGCCCUCCUAGCAUGGUGAACCUGGUGCUGCUGUGGUUGACCUUCAGCCUGUUGAGGUGGUUGUUUCGUAUGUUCUUAAGCAGAUAUUGUCACCGGUAUGUGUCAAAACUUGAGCCCUAAAAUUUAUUUAUUACGUGUCCAUCAUGUUACUGACUGAAGGGGAAGAAAGG
rnacentral:misc_RNA from 1 species